rnacentral:rRNA from 1 species
AUGUGGUUUAAUUCGAAGCAACGCGAAGAACCUUACCAGGGCUUGACAUCCCGGUGACCGCUGUAGAGAUACAGCUUUCCUUCGGGACACCGGUGACAGGUGGUGCAUGGUUGUCGUCAGCUCGUGUCGUGAGAUGUUGGGUUAAGUCCCGCAACGAGCGCAACCCUUAUUGUUAGUUGCUACGCAAGAGCACUCUAACGAGACUGCCG